rnacentral:lncRNA from 1 species
GAGAUACUUCCUGGACAACUGCUAUAAAAACAACAACAAAUACUUUUAUUAAUUCGGGGAGCCUGGUCACCAACUGGAUGCUCAGAGGGGAGAUGGAACCCUGAGCAGCCCAUGUACAUGGAAGAUCUUUAUUGCAGAGAUCUUCAAACCAGGAAACUGAGGCUAAAGAGUUUAGUAUUCUGCCAAGGCCAGCUAAUAGUUACAGAGCAUGGUUCCAAAUUCAGAGCUGUCGGAAGCUUAAGCCCAUGUGAUGAACCACGAAUGUGAUUUUACCUCAUUUAAGCCUUGCAGCAAACUCUGCCAACUAGUGUGCAUUUACUCCUGCCUCUCCAUGCCUGAAGGAAGGAAUGAAGAGGUCUCUGCUGUCCAUCUGAGCCAGUGACUGGGCUGUCUCUACCAGGCCAGAAUUUGGGGCAGGCAAGAUUUUCAGCAUCCCUAAAAUCACACUAAGAAGAUAAACAUGGAAACAGCUUGGAGCUGCCCUACCCAUAGUGAGGUGGUACUGACUGGAAGACAGCUUAAACGAUUUGGAGAAAAGUGGAAUACAUUAAUCUCAGAAAACUCUACCACCUGUAGAAAGAGAGCUAAAAUGGAGACAACCACAGGCAGUCUAAGAUACGCUGAACUACUACAGAAAAUAAUGCAGCAUGAAGGAAUGCUGGAAGGCUCCCUUGAAGCCCAGCAUGGUCAUGUAACUACAAUCAGACAAAUGAAAUAUAAGCGUAAGAGUUGCCUGGUACUUCUGAGACGGCUGCGUAAGUGAUCUGACUCAGCAGGAAGGUCUUCUCUUUGCCUUUCCCUAGUUCCUAUUGCCUCAGAUGUAGUUAUAAUGGUUGGAGCUCUAGCAACCAUCUUGUACCAGCAGGUAAUCUUGAGGCUGCAAGCUAGUACUAGGAGGUAACUGAAAUAUAGACAGAGUCUGAAUCUCUGAUAACCACACCUGCUCUAGCCUAUCUACCAGACUUCUUCUACAAGAAAGGGAAAUAAACUGUAUUCAAGCUUUUCCAUUUUCUGUUUUAUGCAGGCUAACCAACUCUAAGAGGGAUUUGGCUUUUGUUCUUGAAAACUCUUUUCUCUCAAGCUGUUUUUUCAGCCAUGGGUCCAAAGAUCGACAUAGAAACUCAAAAGAUAAAAUCAGAUCCCUUUUGUUUCUUUGCGUUUAUAUUGCAAGAACCCUUUUCUGAAGGCCACCAAGAGGACAUCUUUUUGCUGCCUGAAAAAGUAGAGAGAAAGAAACAAAUGCUAAUAUUUUAAAAUGUUCUAUCUUCACACAUGAAAUUUAUCUAAGCAGUCACCAUGUCUCGGAUUAAAAUCUGGACUUUAGGGUUUUAAAGAUCUAAGAGAGGCCAUAUAGAAAAAUGAAAGAUUAUCAAUACAAUUGAUGAUGUCUGAAAGCAGUGCUAUAGGAGUUCGUUUUAAAACAAAAGCUGCAAAUAACAUUCUGAGCUGCUUCUCCUAGCCCCUUCUUAAUACUUGAGUGUUCUCUCAUAGCAGCCGCGAGAUCAUAUUUCUUUGUAUUGCCUACUGUAUUUCACAGUAUGUCCCUUAGUUGACAUUUGUUUAUUGAUCUGGGGCUUGUUGGGUUGACUCUUCAAUAAAUGGCACAAGUCACCAACUUCACAAAUAACUUACUGCUCCUCUGUGUUGACAAUUAUAGCAAAUUGUAUUCCUUCUUAAGGAAGUGAUGGCUAUUCAACCAUGGUUAACUAGGUUUCCUGAAAUAGGUAUGUAUCACAGGGCAUGUCUUUCUUAAUUUUAUUUUAUUUUUGCAAGGUUGUGAUUAAUUUGGUUACUGAAUUUGAUGGUAUAGAUAUUGAUUUAGCUUGGCAAUCUAGAGAAGUAUAAUUAAUUUCAAUAAAAAUUCAGCAAAGGCAUUUAUGUUCUAUCUCCAAGAAUAUAUCCCCAUUUGAAAAUCUAUUCCUUCCUCUCAUUAGAUAUUCAUAAGCCGUAAUUUCAAGUUUUAUAGUAUCAAUUAUUAAAAACUACACCGAUUCUUCGAUCAGAUACUAUCAGUACAAUCAUGUUGACAAACAGGCCCUAUGACUUGUAUUUUUCAGGUCAGUCUUUUUUUUUUUGAGACAGAAGCUCACUCUGUCACCCAGGCUGGA